AGUGAACGCUGGCGGUAGGCCUAACACAUGCAAGUCGAACGGCAGCACAGUAAGAGCUUGCUCUUACGGGUGGCGAGUGGCGGACGGGUGAGGAAUACAUCGGAAUCUACUUUUUCGUGGGGGAUAACGUAGGGAAACUUACGCUAAUACCGCAUACGACCUACGGGUGAAAGCAGGGGAUCUUCGGACCUUGCGCGAUUGAAUGAGCCGAUGUCGGAUUAGCUAGUUGGCGGGGUAAAGGCCCACCAAGGCGACGAUCCGUAGCUGGUCUGAGAGGAUGAUCAGCCACACUGGAACUGAGACACGGUCCAGACUCCUACGGGAGGCAGCAGUGGGGAAUAUUGGACAAUGGGCGAAAGCCUGAUCCAGCCAUACCGCGUGGGUGAAGAAGGCCUUCGGGUUGUAAAGCCCUUUUGUUGGGAAAGAAAAGAAGCAGGUUAAUACCCCGCUGUUCUGACGGUACCCAAAGAAUAAGCACCGGCUAACUUCGUG
rnacentral:rRNA from 1 species